rnacentral:rRNA from 1 species
CGGGGGAGGCAAGCGUUGUUCGGAUUUACUGGGCGAAAGGGCGCGUAGGCGGUCAGCACAAGUCAGUUGUGAAAUCUCCGGGCUUAACUCGGAAAGGUCAACUGAUACUGUGCGACUAGAGUGCAGAAGGGGCAACUGGAAUUCUCGGUGUAGCGGUGAAAUGCGUAGAUAUCGAGAGGAACACCUGCGGCGAAGGCGGGUCGCUGGGCUGACACUGACGCUGAUGCGCGAAAGCCAGGGGAGCGAACGGGAUUAGAUACCCCGGUAGUCCUGGCCUUAAACGAUGGAUGCUUGGUGUCUGGAGUUUUAUAGUCUCCGGGUGCCGUAGCUAACGCGUUAAGCAUCCCGCCUGGGGAGUACGGUCGCAAGAUUG